rnacentral:rRNA from 1 species
AAUCAACGCUGGCGGCAUGCCUAACACAUGCAAGUCGAGCGAGAAAGGGUAGCAAUACCUGAGUAAAGCGGCGCACGGGUGAGUAACACGUGGAUAACCUGCCUCAAAGUGGGGAAUAACACCGGGAAACCGGUGCUAAUACCGCAUAUUCUGACGAGAUCUGUGGAUUUUGCCAGGAAAGGAGCAAUUCGCUAUGAGAGGGGUCCGCGGCUGAUUAGCUAGUGGUGAGGUAACGGCUCACCAAGGCCACGAUCAGUAGCCGGUCUGAGAGGACGGUCGGCCACACUGGAACUGAGACACGGUCCAGACUCCUACGGGAGGCAGCAGUGGGGAAUUUUUCGCAAUGGGGGCAACCCUGACGAAGCAAUGCCGCGUGGAUGAUGAAGUAUCUCGGUACGU